rnacentral:piRNA from 1 species
UGUUGCCAGAAUGGAGAC